rnacentral:rRNA from 1 species
ACAAUGCGGAACUUUUAGUUUUGCAAUUGGAUUGAGAACAAUGUACAAAUGUUAUCGAUAAACAAUUGGAGGGCAAGUCUGGUGCCAGCAGCCGCGGUAAUUCCAGCUCCAAUAGCGUAUAUUAACGUUGUUGCAGUUAAAAAGCUCGUAGUUGAAAUGUGGGAUGAUUGUUAUGAUGAAUCUAUGUAUUCGAUUAUAAUAUGAAUCCCCUCUCCAAUUUAUUAUUAUGGGUAUUAAUUUAUUUGUAAUAAGAAUUGGUCAUUUACUGUGAGAAAAUUAGAGUGUUCAAAGCAGGCAUUUGCUUGAAUAGAUUAGCAUGGAAUAAUAGUAAAAGGCUUUUAUGGUGCUUAAUUGGUUUAAUCAUAGAAGCAAGAUUAAAAGGAACAGUUGGGGGUAUUCAUAUUCAAUAGUUAGAGGUGAAAUUCUCGGAUUUAUGGAAGAUGAACAAGUGCGAAAGCA